rnacentral:rRNA from 1 species
UACGUGAGGGGCGAGCGUUGUUCGGAAUUAUUGGGUGUAAAGGGCGCGUAGGCGGUCCGGCAAGUCUGGUGUUGAAGGCUACAGCUUAACUGUGGUUUGGCGCUGGAAACUGUUGGACUUGAGUUUAGGAGGGGGAGCUGGAAUUCCAGGUGUAGGGGUGAAAUCUGUAGAUAUCUGGAAGAACACCGGUGGCGAAGGCGAGCUCCUGGCCAUAGACUGACGCUGAGGCGCGAAAGCGUGGGGAGCGAACAGGAUUAGAUACCCUGGUAGUCCACGCUGUAAACGAUGUACACUAGGUGUCGGGCCAAGAGGUUCGGUGCCGUAGCAAACGCGUUAAGUGUACCACCUGGGGAGUAUGCCGGCAACGGUGAA